AAUCGACUUUGCCUAUUGCGCAAUUAGGUUCUCUAGACUCUUGAUGGAGGCUUCAUUAAUUUUUAGCCUAGUGUCCUUUACUCUCAUGAAUUUGGUGAGAAUAUCCUCCAUUUUUUGCCUUUGUUCAUUGGGUGGCUGUUGGUGGAGCAACUUGUCUUUGAUUAUCUUGGUUGCCCCAUGAAAUAUUAGGGUGAUUUCUCUAUCUAGAAU
rnacentral:lncRNA from 1 species